CCUACGGGGGGCUGCAGUGGGGAAUAUUGGACAAUGGGCGAAAGCCUGAUCCAGCCAUGCCGCGUGUGUGAAGAAGGCCUUCGGGUUGUAAGCACUUUCAGUGGGGAAGAAAGCCUUGGGGCUAAUACCCUCGAGGAAGGACAUCACCCACAGAAGAAGCACCGGCUAACUCCGUGCCAGCAGCCGCGGUAAUACGGAGGGUGCGAGCGUUAAUCGGAAUUACUGGGCGUAAAGCGCGCGUAGGCGGUCUGAUAAGCCGGUUGUGAAAGCCCCGGGCUCAACCUGGGAACGGCAUCCGGAACUGUCAGGCUAGAGUGCAGGAGAGGAAGGUAGAAUUCCCGGUGUAGCGGUGAAAUGCGUAGAGAUCGGGAGGAAUACCAGUGGCGAAGGCGGCCUUCUGGACUGACACUGACGCUGAGGUGCGAAAGCGUGGGUAGCAAACAGGAUUAGAUACCCGAGUAGUC
rnacentral:rRNA from 1 species